rnacentral:rRNA from 1 species
AGAGUUUGAUCCUGGCUCAGGAUGCUUUCUAGCGGCAGGCUUAACACAUGCAAGUCGAAGGGCAGCGGAAAGGGAGCUUGCUCCCUUUGCCGGCGACUGGCGCACGGGUGAGUAACACGUAUGCAACCUGCCCUCCACAGGGGGACAACCUCCCGAAAGGGAGGCUAAUCCCGCAUAUAUCCGGGGCCCGCAUGGACCCCUGAGGAAAGGUUAUCCGGUGGAGGAUGGGCAUGCGUCGCAUUAGCUAGUCGGCGGGGUAACGGCCCACCGAGGCGACGAUGCGUAGGGGUUCUGAGAGGAAGGUCCCCCACACUGGUACUGAGACACGGACCAGACUCCUACGGGAGGCAGCAGUGAGGAAUAUUGGUCAAUGGGCGGGAGCCUGAACCAGCCAAGUCGCGUGAGGGAAGACGGCCCUACGGGUUGUAAACCUCUUUUGCCGGGGAGCAAAGACUGCCACGAGUGGCAGGAUGAGAGUACCCGGAGAAAAAGCAUCGGCUAACUCCGUGCCAGCAGCCGCGGUAAUACGGAGGAUGCGAGCGUUAUCCGGAUUUAUUGGGUUUAAAGGGUGCGCAGGCGGACAUGUAAGUCAGCGGUAAAAAUGCGGGGCUCAACCCCGUCGAGCCGUUGAAACUGUGUGUCUAGAGUGAGCGAGAAGUAUGCGGAAUGCGUGGUGUAGCGGUGAAAUGCAUAGAUAUCACGCAGAACUCCGAUUGCGAAGGCAGCAUACCGGCGCUCAACUGACGCUCAGGCACGAAAGCGUGGGUAUCGAACAGGAUUAGAUACCCUGGUAGUCCACGCAGUAAACGAUGAACACUAGGUGUCCGGGGGGAUUGACCUCUGGGUGCCACAGCGAAAGCGUUAAGCAUCCCACCUGGGGAGUACGCCGGCAACGGUGAAACUCAAAGGAAUUGACGGGGGCCCGCACAAGCGGAGGAACAUGUGGUUUAAUUCGAUGAUACGCGAGGAACCUUACCCGGGCUUGAACUGCAGGAGAACGAUUCAGAGAUGAUGAGGUCCUUCGGGACUCCUGCGGAGGUGCUGCAUGGUUGUCGUCAGCUCGUGCCGUGAGGUGUCGGCUUAAGUGCCAUAACGAGCGCAACCCCUGCUUUCAGUUGCCAUCGGGUAAUGCCGGGCACUCUGGAGGGACUGCCGCCGCAAGGUGGAGGAAGGUGGGGAUGACGUCAAAUCAGCACGGCCCUUACGUCCGGGGCUACACACGUGUUACAAUGGGGGGUACAGAGGGCCGGCCGCCGGCGACGUCGGUCAAAUCCCGAAAGCCUCUCCCAGUUCGGACUGGAGUCUGCAACCCGACUCCACGAAGCUGGAUUCGCUAGUAAUCGCGCAUCAGCCAUGGCGCGGUGAAUACGUUCCCGGGCCUUGUACACACCACCCGUCA